rnacentral:rRNA from 1 species
CCUACGGGUGGCAGCAGUGGGGAAUAUUGGACAAUGGGGGGAACCCUGAUCCAGCCAUGCCGCGUGUGUGAAGAAGGCCCUCGGGUUGUAAAGCACUUUCAGUGAGGAAGAACGCCUGGUGGUUAAUACCCAUCAGGAAAGACAUCACUCACAGAAGAAGCACCGGCUAACUCCGUGCCAGCAGCCGCGGUAAUACGGAGGGUGUGAGCGUUAAUCGGAAUUACUGGGCGUAAAGCGCGCGUAGGUGGCUUGAUAAGCCGGUUGUGAAAGCCCCGGGCUCAACCUGGGAACGGCAUCCGGAACUGUCAAGCUAGAGUGCAGGAGAGGAAGGUAGAAUUCCCGGUGUAGCGGUGAAAUGCGUAGAGAUCGGGAGGAAUACCAGUGGCGAAGGCGGCCUUCUGGACUGACACUGACACUGAGGUGCGAAAGCGUGGGUAGCAAACAGGAUUAGAUACCCCUGUAGUC